AACCCAUUGUAAAUAAGAAUUUGUGAUUAGAAUUAGCCCUUUCUAACUUCAAACUGCUUCCUUCAUACCUCGUACACCAUAACUCUCAAACCCUAAGAUAUUCCAUAUUCGAUCAUUUCCCAUAUCCACUGCGUUAAUUCCUUCAGGUAUUCUUUUUAGGUUUUCUUUCCGCUUGUCACGAAGGAUGGAGGUUUGAAAGAAGAUUGGAGGGGUUUUUUCAGGGAUUCGAUGACUGGGUUUACCCGGCUAAAAGAGAAAAGUUGAACGUGUUGAACUGCUCGUGAUGAGCAGGGGCCAAGACAGAUAGUGCAAAAAAUUGAUGAUGAAGAGUGUGAUAAUAACCAUUGAUGAGAUCGCAAAUGACAAUGUGAAGGUCGUCCAACGUGAUAAGGUGCAAAAGCAAAAUGAAGGCCAAGUCACUUGAGCUUCAAAUCAACUACUACCAUCGAUCUUCUAUAUAGAGUAUAUAGUACAUCCUAGCUAGUUAGUUUUUCUAGGUUUUAGUUAUUCUUGGGUUUGAUUUAUAAUGUUGUUUUGGACUAUUUGGUUAGGAUUUCGGUUAGUGAUAUAGAUCCGUGUAUGUUUGGAUUCUGUUUAGUAAUGUACAUGUACGUACUAAGAAUUUUAACUACUUAAGUUUUUUUUAAGUUAAUUUUAUUGUUAAUUGAAGACCAAUUAUUCAUAA